rnacentral:rRNA from 1 species
AUGUCACAGCCCGCCUGGGAGAACAUCGGCAUCUACCGUGCCGGCAUCAUCCCCGUCUUCUACCAGCAGGUCAAGUGUUGGAGGCAGGGCGGCGUUCGGUUCACCAUCAACGGCUUCAACUACUUUGAACUGGUGCUUGUGGCCAACAUCGCCGGGAGCGGGUCAAUUAAGAGCAUGUCGGUGAAAGGGACCAACACCGCGUGGAUCCCGAUGUCCAGGAACUGGGGCGCCAACUGGCACUGCCUCUCGGGACUGGUGGGGCAGGCGCUCAGCUUCGCUAUCACCUCCACCGGAGGCCAGUACCUUGUCUUCCAGGAUGUCGUGCCGGCCUGGUGGCAGUUUGGACAAACCUUCAUCACCUGGCGCCAGUUCGACUACUAG